CGCGUAGGCGGUUCGUUGCGUCAGAUGUGAAAGCCCCGGGCUCAACCUGGGAACUGCAUUUGAUACGGGCGAGCUUGAAUCCAAGAGAGGGUGGUGGAAUUCCCAGUGUAGAGGUGAAAUUCGUAGAUAUUGGGAAGAACACCAGUGGCGAAGGCGGCCACCUGGCUUGGUAUUGACGCUGAGGCGCGAAAGCGUGGGGAGCAAACA
rnacentral:rRNA from 1 species